CCGUGAUAAAUAGUGGAGACACCAAGUCCUCCCAGUUAGGGUGACCAGAUUCAUCAGUGCUCUCUAAAACAUUGAAGAUAUAAGCCAAAAGAAGUUCUACAACCAGAUAACCAGAAUUUUCUGCUUCAAGAAAUUCAUCAGGGCAAUUCUGCACAAUCUGUGAUAGAACUGAAAUGGCCAGACUAUUCCAAUAAUUAUCCAUGUAAAUGGAGUAUGAGAAAACCUGCAGCAACUCUUGACAAAUAUCUGCAGUAAGAAACUCAGCA
rnacentral:misc_RNA from 1 species